GUGAACGCUGGCGGUAGGCCUAACACAUGCAAGUCGCACGGCAGCACAGUAAGAGCUUGCUCUUACGGGUGGCGAGUGGCGGACGGGUGAGGAAUACAUCGGAAUCUACUUUUUCGUGGGGGAUAACGUAGGGAAACUUACGCUAAUACCGCAUACGACCUACGGGUGAAAGCAGGGGAUCUUCGGACCUUGCGCGAUUGAAUGAGCCGAUGUCGGAUUAGCUAGUUGGCGGGGUAAAGGCCCACCAAGGCGACGAUCCGUAGCUGGUCUGAGAGGAUGAUCAGCCACACUGGAACUGAGACACGGUCCAGGCUCCUACGGGAGGCAGCAGUGGGGAAUAUUGGACAAUGGGCGCAAGCCUGAUCCAGCCAUACCGCGUGGGUGAAGAAGGCCUUCGGGUUGUAAAGCCCUUUUGUUGGGAAAGAAAAGCAGCAGGUUAAUACCCCGCUGUUCUGACGGUACCCAAAGAAUAAGCACCGGCUAACUUCGUG
rnacentral:rRNA from 1 species